rnacentral:rRNA from 1 species
UACGUAGGGGGCAAGCGUUGUCCGGAUUUAUUGGGCGUAAAGAGCGUGUAGGCGGCUAGAUAGGUCCGUUGUGAAAACUCGAGGCUCAACCUCGAGACGUCGAUGGAAACCAUCUGGCUAGAGUCCGGAAGAGGAGAGUGGAAUUCCUGGUGUAGCGGUGAAAUGCGCAGAUAUCAGGAAGAACACCCGUGGCGAAGGCGGCUCUCUGGUACGUGACUGACGCUGAGACGCGAAAAGCGUGGGGAGCAAACAGG